GACGAACGCUGGCGGCGUGCUUAACACAUGCAAGUCGAACGGAAAGGCCCUGCUUGCAGGGUACUCGAGUGGCGAACGGGUGAGUAACACGUGGGUGAUCUGCCCUGCACUUCGGGAUAAGCUUGGGAAACUGGGUCUAAUACCGGAUAGGAGCCAUCUUUAGUGUGGUGGUUGGAAAGUUUUUUCGGUGUAGGAUGAGCUCGCGGCCUAUCAGCUUGUUGGUGGGGUAAUGGCCUACCAAGGCGGCGACGGGUAGCCGGCCUGAGAGGGUGUACGGCCACAUUGGGACUGAGAUACGGCCCAGACUCCUACGGGAGGCAGCAGUGGGGAAUAUUGCACAAUGGGCGCAAGCCUGAUGCAGCGACGCCGCGUGGGGGAUGAAGGCCUUCGGGUUGUAAACUCCUUUCGCUAGGGACGAAGCUUUUUUGUGACGGUACCCAGAUAAGAAGCACCGGCUAACUACGUG
rnacentral:rRNA from 1 species